AUGGCUUUGAAGUUCCAUCCUAAAACAACAGAGUACACAUUCUUUUUAAGUGCACAUGGAACAUUCUCCAGGGUAGGUCACAUAUUAGGCCACAAAACAAGCCUCAAAAAUUCAAAAUGAUUGAAGUCGUACCAUACAUUCUUUUCCCACAAUGCUAUGAAACUUGAAGUCAGCCACAAAAAAAAAAAAAAAAAAAAAAAAAAGCCAGAAAGACCACAAACACAUGGAGGAGGUUAAAUAACAUGCUACUAAAUAUGAAUGGGUCAACAAGAAAAUAGAAGAAGAAAUUGGAAAGUAUAUGGAAACAGGCGAAAAUGAAAACACAACAGUCCAAAACCUCAGGGAUAUAGCAAAAGCAGUUUUAAGAGGGAAGUUUAAAGCAAUACAGGCCUAUCUCAAGAAGCAAGAAAAAUCUCAAACCUCACCUUACACUUAAAGGUCCUAGAACAAGAACAACAAACAAAACCCAAACCUUGCAGAAGGAAAGAAAUAAUAAAGAUUAGAGUAGAAAUAAAUGAUGUAGAUACUAAAAAUACAGUAGAACAGAUCAAUGAAACUGGGGACCUGGUUCUUUGAAAAAAUGAAUAAAAUCGAUAAGCCUUUUGCCAGAUUUAUCAAGAAAAGAGAAAGGGCUCAAAUAAAUUCACAAAUUAGAGAAGACAAAUAACAACCACCACCUCAGAAAUACAAACAAUCAUAAGAGAUUAUUAUGAAAAAGUGUAUGCCAAAAAAUCUGGCAACCUAGAAGCAAUCGAUAAAUUCCUAGAAACAUAUAAACUACCAAAACUGAAUCAGAAAGAAAUAGAAAAUUUGAACAGAUCCAUAACCAACAAGGAAAUGGAAUGAGUAAUCAAAAAACUCCCAACAAACAAAAGUCCUGGACCAGAUGGCUUCACAGGGGAAUUUUACCAAAUAUUUAAAGAUGAGUUAAUACCUAUUUUACUAAAACUAUUCCAAAAAAUAGAAGAGGGAGGAAAACUUUCAAAUUCUUUCUAUGAGGCCAGCAUUACCCUGAUACCCAAGCCAGAUAAAGACACCAUGAAAAAAGAGAUGUACAGGCUAAUAGCUCUGAUGAACAUAAAAUCUCCAACAAAACACUAGCAAACAGGAUCCAACAAUAUGUAAAAAAAAAAAAUCAUUCACUACCAUCAAGUGGGAUUUAUUCCUUGGUUUUAAGGGUUGCUCUGUAUUCACAAAUUGAUCAACAUGAUACAUCACAUCAAUAAGAGAAAGGAUGGGGGGGCCUUAGUUGACCAUCUGACUUCAGCUCAGGUCAUGAUCUCAUGGUUUGUGAGUUUGAGCCUUGCAUCAGGCUCUACACUGACAGUGUGGAGUCUUCUUGCACUUCUCUCUCUCUGCCCCUCCCCCACUCUCAUACUGACUUGUUCUCUCUCUCUCUCUCUCUCUCUCUCUCUCUCUCUCUCUCUCUCUCUCUCUCUCAAAAUAAAUAAACUUAAGAAAAUAAGAGAAAAGAUAAAAACCAUUUGAUCAUUUCAGUAGACACAGAAAAAGCAGUUGACAAAGCACAACGUCCAUUCAUGAUAAAACCCCUCAACAAAGUAGGUUUAGAGGAAACAUACCUCAACAUAAUAAAGGCCACUUAUGAAAAACCCACAGCUUUUCAUUCUUCUCGUUCUUAAUGGGGGAAAAACUGGGAGCCUUUUCUCUAAUGUCAGGAACAAGACAAGGAUGUCCAGUCCCACCACUUUUUUUCAACAUAGUAGUGGAAGUCCUAGCCACAGCAGUCAGAGAAGAAAAAUAAAUAAAAGGCAUCCAAACCAGCAAGGAAGAAGUCAAACUUUCACUAUUUGUAGAUGAUGUGAUACUAUAUAGGGAAAGCCUAAAAAGACUCUACCAAAAACCUCAUAGAACUGAUAAAUUAAUUCUAUAGAGUUGGAGGAUACAAAUCAAUGUACAGAAAUCUGUUGCAUAUCCAUACACCAAUAACGAAGCAGCAGAAAAAGAAAUUAAGAAGACAAUCCCAUUUACAAUUACACCAAUAAUAAUAAGAUACAUAGGAAUAAACCUAACUAAAGAUGUGAAAGACCUGUACCCUGUAAAGUAUAAAGCAUUGAUGAAAGAAAUUGAAAAGGACACAAAGAAAUGGAAAGAUAUUUCAUGCUCAUGGAUUGGAAGAGCAAAUAUUGUUAAAAUGUAUACUACCCAAAGCGAUCUACACAUUUAAUACAAUCUCUAUAAAAAUACCAACAGCAUUUUUAACAGAACUAGAACAAAGAAUCUUAAAAUGUGUAUGGAACUAUGAAAGACCCUGAAUAGCCAAAGCAACCUUGAAAAAGAAGAGCAAAGCUGGAGGCAUCAUGAUUCCGACUUCAAGUUAUAUUACAAAGCUGUAGUAAUCAAAACAAUAUGGUACUGGCACAAAAAUAGACACAGAGAUCAAUGGAACACAGAAAUAAGCCCACAAUUAUUUGGUCAAUUAAUAUUCAACAAAGCAGGAAAGAAUAUCCAGUGAGAAAAAGACAAGUCUCUUCAACAAGUGGUGUUGGGCAAACUGGACAGCAACAUGCAAGAGAGUGAAACCAGACCACUUUCUUACAUUAUACACAAAAAUAAAUUCAAAAUGGAUUAAAGACCUAUGUGUGAUGAUUGAAUCCAUUAAAAUCCUAGCAGAUAACACAGGCAGUUAACUUUGACAUCAGCUGUAGCAACUUUUUUCUAGAUAUGUCUCCUGAGGCAAGGGAAGCAAAAGCAAAAAUAAACUAUUGAGACUACAUCAAAAUAAAAAGUUUCUGCACAGUGAGGAGACAAUCAACAAAAGCAAAAGGCAAUGUACAGAGUGGGAGAAGAAAUUUGCAAAUGAUAUAUCUGACAAAGAGUCAAUAUCCAAAAUAUAUAAAGUACUUGUAAAACUCAGCACUCAAAAACUAAAGAAUCCAGGCAUGUCUGAGUGGCUCAGUCAGUUGAACAUCCAACUGUUGAUUUCGGCUUAGGUCAUGAUCUUAUAGUUUGUGGGAUCGAGCUGUCAGCAUGGAACCCACUUGGGAUUCUCUCUCUCCUUCUCUCUGCCCUUCUUCCAUUUGCACUUGCAUGCUCUCUCUCAAAUAAAUAAACAAACAGACAAAACCCACUAAAGAAAUCAAGUUAAAAAAUGGGCAGAAGACAUGGACAGACAUUUCGCCAAAGAAGAUAUACAGACACAUGGAAGGAUGCUCAUCAUCAUUUCCCAUCAGGAAAAUGCAGAUCAUUGUAGAAUGGGAUGUCAUCUCACAAAUGUCAGAAUGGCUGAAGUCAACUAUAUAAGAAACAACACAUGUUGGGAAAGAUGUGGAGAAACAGGAACGCUCAUGCACUGUUGGUGGGAAUGCAAACUGGUACAGUCAUUGUGGAAAACAGUAUGGAGGUUCCUCAAAAAGUUAAAAAUAGAACUACCAUCCAUCAAUUGCACUAAUUGGUAUUUACCAAAAGAACGUAAAAACAUGAAUUUAAAGUGAUACAUGCACCCAUAUGUUGAUAGCAGGAUUAUUUACAAUAGCCAUAUUAUCGAAGCAGCCCAUGUGUCCAUUGAUUGAUAAAUGGAUAAAGAAGAGGGGAUCUAUACACACACACACACACACACACACACACACACACACACACACAGCAAUAUUAUUCAGCCCUAAAAAAGAAUGAAAUCUUGUCAUUUUCAAUGACAUGGAUGGAGCUAGAGAGUAUUAUGUGCAGUGAAAUAAACCAGAGAAACACAAAUACCAUAUGAUCUCAUUCAUAUGUGGAAUUUAAGAACAAAACAAGUGAAGAGAAAGAAAGAGAGACAAACCAAGAAACAAACUCCUAACUCUAGAGAACAAACUGAUGGUUACCAGAGGGGAGGUUGGUGUGGGAAUGGGUGAACUAAGUGAUGGGGAUUAAGCAGUGCACCUGUUGUGAUGAGCACUGGGUGAUGUAUGGAAUUGUUGGAUCAGUAUAUUGUACACUUGAAACUAAUAUAACUGUAUAUUAACUAAUUGAAAUUAUUAUAAUAAAUACUUAGAAAAAAGUAUUCAUUUGUAGCAUAGAGAGUCUAGAGAGAGAGAUGCUACAAAGUAUACAAUGGAGACAAUCAUAGCAGUAGUAGUGGGCACUGUUCAAUCCUCUCAUUUAACCCUUAUACCACUUACUUGAGGUAGGAGGAAAUUGAAGCAAAGAGGUGAAAUGUCUCCCCCUGGUUGGUGCACACCCAAAGGAACGGAGCCAAAGUGUAACCUGUUUGUGACUAUUUCCAUAAUUCAUGAGAUCUGAAUCAUAGAAUGAUUUUCGUCUCUAGAAGACAUUUAACAAUGGGGACAUUUUUGAAUGUCAUGAAUGGGACAUGCCACUGGCAUUUAGUUAAAAGAUGCCAUGGGUGCUGCUAAGCAUCAUAUGAUACAUAGGACAGUGCUCUACAUCAAAGAAUUAUUUGGCCCCAGAAUGUGAAUUGUGCAGUGAUGGUAUUAAGUGUACUACCACACUUUGUCACCACCCUUAACCAGAAUCUUAAUAAGUUUUCCUCUUAGCUGAAGAGCUAAUUUAAGUAAAAGACAAUUUAUCUUAUUCUUAAUUUUUUUUUUUAAUGUCCAGGCUGUGUAGUGAGUUCAUUUACAUAUACCUUCAGUAGUAAAAUAUCAGAGUAUUUUAAUUCCAUAAGAAAUGUGUAUCUCAUGUACUAAUGCUGUGUUUAAAAAGCUUCGGAUAGACUAUCAGCAUAAAUUGAAUCAGCUUUUCUAAAGCACAUUCUAGAAUUCUCCUGUGGGAACAGUAGGCAUUAGGAUGUUAACUUUAGAAAGCCUUUAGUAGAUUGUGACAGGUAAUUACGUGGACAUGUUCUAAAUCCCUUGGUUUCUUUAAUUCUGUGGGUGGUGCUGAAGGGAAAGAUAAAUACUAGCAUUACCUAUUUGAAGUCGAUCCUAGUUAUCUGAUGCAUGCACUGCUAGGGAGGAGCAUAGCUACCACUGGUUGGAAUGAAACAGAUUUAGGAAAGGAAUGGUGUGGACCACGUUCAGGGCUGACUUUCCUCAUGGAAAGAAGUGAUGCUGAUGAACAGUGUUCUUCUGGGAACCUGGUUCUGUAAAUAACAUUUAGACUAAAGUUUUAUGCACAAUUUUUAAAAAGAAUGAUGUGUUAAUAAACUUUAAAAGGGGAAAUACAUCCCCUUCCAGUAUAGUUGAACCUGAUGGUAAUUUAAUAUUUACUUAGGUAUAGUUUUACUAUACAUGUAAGACAGUGUAUAAAUCUCAAGAAAAACAUUUUCAUCAAGAACAUCAAAAAGCUUGGCAGUAAAAUAAAGACAGAAUGUGAUGGUAGGGAUUUUGGCAUGUUUGUUUUUAGAAUGAAUGGUUCUUUGAAUUAUAAUUUUUUCAGCUCUUCCCUAUGGUAAAGCUCAUUGUUAAAACCAGACUUGGAUAAUUUUUUCUAAAAUGAAAUUUCAAUACUGGUAUAUAUCCUCCUCUAAUUUUUAAAGAGAACUAUAAUUGAAUAUAAUGUGAUACUUUUCUAAAAUUUAAGAUUUUAUAACCAAGUUGAGGCUACUUGUUAAUAUUCAGGAUUUUUAAAAAUAAUAUUUUAAGUAUUUGAAGUGUGCCUGUAUUCCUACUUGUCCAAUUUCUUAUAACCACUAUUUAAAAAUUUUUUUUUUAACAUUUAUUUUUUGAGAGACAUAGGGAGACACAGCAUGAGUGGGGAGGGCAGAGAGGGAGAGACAGAAUCUGAAUCAGGCUUCAGGCUCUGAGCUGUGAGCACAGAGCCUGACGUGGGGCUUGAACCCAUGAACCUGAGAUCAUGACUUGAGCUGAAGUUGGACACUCAACCGUCUGAGCCACCCAGGCGCCCCAUAGCCACUAUUUUUUAUUCUGAAAAUCAUCUAGGACUUAAUCUUUAUUAAAAAGUAUGGUAUAAAACAAAAGAGAUUAUAAAAGGGCCUUUAAAUAUUUUACAUUAAUAAAUCUCUUUGUAGUUUAUGUAAUUACUUUUGCCACUGAACAGCAUAACUUCUUGCAGGUAAUUACUUGCUGGAUAGGAAAAAAAAAGUCUUGAUUCCUUCCAGUAAGGAAUGUAUAUGCCAGACAUAAUGCUUAAAUUUUUUGAAGAUACUAUGAAAGUGGAUGAAAAAAUAAUAGUUUAAAAAUGUCAGCUUCCUGUUUAAUAAAACCUAUUGAAUUACACUAGCAGACAAGUAUACUUAUGUUUAAGAUUUCACAUAUUUUAGGAACACCUAGGUAGCCCAGUUGGUUGAGCAUCCAACCUUUGAUUUUGGCUCAGGUCAUGAUCCCAGGAUUGUGGGAUCGAGCCCUGUGUUGGGCUCCAUGCUGAAUGUGGAGCCUUCUUGGGAUUCUCUCUCUCUCUCUCUCUCUCUCUCUCUCUCUCUCUCUCUCUCUUCCUCUCUCUCUGUCUCACUUUCUUUCUCUCUCUGUCUCCCCCCCUCUACUCCUCUCCCCUGCUCUCUCUGUGUGUCUCUAAAAAAAAAAAAAGAUUUCACAUAUUUUAUU